UCCUAGGGGGGCAGCAGUGAGGAAUAUUGGUCAAUGGUCGGGAGACUGAACCAGCCAAGCCGCGUGAGGGAGGAAGGUACAGAGUAUCGUAAACCUCUUUUGUCAGGGAAGAAUAGAUGCUACGUGUAGCAUGAUGCCUGUACCUUAUGAAUAAGCAUCGGCUAACUCCGUGCCAGCAGCCGCGGUAAUACGGAGGAUGCGAGCGUUAUCCGGAUUUAUUGGGUUUAAAGGGUGCGUAGGCGGUUUUUUAAGUUAGUGGUUAAACGUCGGGGCUACACCUUGAUUUGCCAUUAAUACUGUAAGAU
rnacentral:rRNA from 1 species